CCCUUAGAUGUUCUGGGCUGCACGCGUGCUACACUGAUAUUGCCAAUAUGUCAUUCUUAUCCGAAAUGGAUUGGGUAAUCAAGUAAUGAAAUUUCAUGCUUGGAAUCGGUAAUUGCAAUUUUAUCGUGAACGAGGAAUUCCUAGUAAGCACUGGUCAUCAGCUAAUGUUGAUUAUGUCCCUGCCCUUUGUACACACCGCCCGUCGCUACUACUGAUUGGGUGUUCAAGUGAGAUGCUUAGACCCUUGUUGCAUGGUUCAUUAUUGUGCUCCGAAAGGAAAAAGUUUCAAGCUUGAGUGUCUAGAGGAAGUAAAAGGCGUAACA
rnacentral:rRNA from 1 species